UGCUUAAAAGUUGCAAAAUUCAUUAAAUAAAUAAACAUUAAAGGAGCUUGACUAAAAUUCAGAGCUAGUAAAUGAGCGUAAAUACAUCAAAUAAAGAUAUUUACAUGUUUUGUAUAUGAUAGAGUAAAGGAUUUAAAUAAAACAGAUACAAGUAGAGAAGAGGAAAUUGUGUUGAAUUUUCACAACAAAGGUAACACAAUAGAUCAAUCUUUCUGAACACAAAGUAAUAAUGGAGAAUAUCCAAUUCACUGAUUCAAUACAAAUAAAAGAACUAAAAAACAGAAUUACAGCAAG
rnacentral:misc_RNA from 1 species